rnacentral:rRNA from 1 species
GAUGAACGCUGGCGGCGUGCCUAAUACAUGCAAGUCGAGCGAACAGACGAGGAGCUUGCUCCUCUGACGUUAGCGGCGGACGGGUGAGUAACACGUGGAUAACCUACCUAUAAGACUGGGAUAACUUCGGGAAACCGGAGCUAAUACCGGAUAAUAUAUUGAACCGCAUGGUUCAAUAGUGAAAGACGGUUUUGCUGUCACUUAUAGAUGGAUCCGCGCGGCAUUAGCUAGUUGGUAAGGUAACGGCUUACCAAGGCAACGAUGCGUAGCCGACCUGAGAGGGUGAUAGGCCACACUGGAACUGGGACACGGUCCAGCCUCCUACGGGAGGCAGAAGUAGGGAAUCUUGCGCAAGGGGCGAAGGCCUGACGGGGCAACGCCGCGUGGGUGAUGAAGGUCUUCGGAUCGUAAACCUCUGUUAUGAGGGAAGAACAAAUGUGUAAGUAACUAUGCACGUCUUGACGGUACCUAAGCAGAAAGACAGGGCUAACUACGUG